rnacentral:rRNA from 1 species
AGGAGAGUUUGAUCCUGGCUCAGGACGAACGCUGGCGGCGUGCUUAAUACAUGCAAGUCGAACGGAGUUAGAGACUUCGGUUUCUAACUUAGUGGCGAACGGGUGAGUAACGCGUGAGCAACCUGACUCAAAGAGGGGGACAACAGCUGGAAACGGCUGCUAAUACCGCAUAAGACCACAGCGCGGCAUCGCAAAGGGGUCAAAGAUUUAUCGCUUUGAGAGGGGCUCGCGUCCCAUUAGAUAGUUGGUGAGGUAACGGCCCACCAAGUCCGCGAUGGGUAGCCGAGCUGAGAGGCUGAUCGGCCACACUGGAACUGAGACACGGUCCAGACUCCUACGGGAGGCAGCAGUAGGGAAUAUUGGGCAAUGGGCGCAAGCCUGACCCAGCAACGCCGCGUGAGGGAAGAAGGUUUUCGGAUUGUAAACCUCUGUCCUAUGUGACGAAGGAAGUGACGGUAGCAUAGGAGGAAGCCCCGGCUAACUACGUGCCAGCAGCCGCGGUAAUACGUAGGGGGCGAGCGUUGUCCGGAAUUACUGGGCGUAAAGGGUGCGUAGGCGGCAUGGCAAGUUGGAUGUGAAAUACCCGGGCUUAACUUGGGGGCUGCAUCCAAAACUGCUGAGCUUGAGUGCGGGAGAGGAAAGCGGAAUUCCUAGUGUAGCGGUAAAAUGCGUAGAUAUUAGGAGGAACACCGGUGGCGAAGGCGGCUUUCUGGACCGUAACUGACGCUGAGGCACGAAAGCGUGGGGAGCAAACAGGAUUAGAUACCCUGGUAGUCCCCU